rnacentral:rRNA from 1 species
CACGGGGGGAGCAAGCGUUGUUCGGAAUCACUGGGCGUAAAGGGCGUGUAGGCGGUCAGGUAAGUGGGAUGUGAAAUCCCUCGGCUCACCCGAGGACCGGCAUCUCAUACUGCUUGGCUUGAGUACGGGAGAGGAUGUGGGAAUUCCUGGUGUAGCGGUGAAAUGCGUAGAUAUCUGGAGGAACACCUGUGGCGAAGGCGGCCCACUGGCUCGAUACUGACGCUGAGGUGCGAAAGCGUGGGGAGCAAACAGG